AAGGCAAGAAGGCACAUUUUUCUAAAGUUCAAAGCUCUGAGGCCCUUCAAGGAUACUCCUCCGGUUGCAAGGGAACCAGGGCUUAAGUGACAGACAAGAGGAAGCCCAUGUUAAUCAAACUGGUUGUCAGAAGGGUGAGAAAGCUCCUGGAGCCUAACACAAAUCCAUUGACCAAGAGCUAAGUGGUCACCACCCAAUGUGGCAAAGCUCUGACCAAUCGGAACAGAUGCUGGCUAUCAGCCGUCCCCAGGGCUGUGCUGGAGCAAGGCGCUCUGCAGGCCGCAGAACAGAUGGUUGCGAGCCACCAUGUGGUUGCUGGG